AUGGCCUGGACUCCAGCCCUUUUCUUUAUGCUCUUCCUGUUCUGCACAGGUUCCCUCUCCCAGCCUGUGCUGACUCAGUCACCCUCUGUAUCUGCCUCUCUGGGAGCCUCAGUCAAGCUCACUUGCACCCUGAGUAGUCAGCACAGCAACUACUACAUUUCCUGGUACCAGCAACAGCCUGGAAAAGCCCCACUGUAUGUAAUGUAUGUUAACAGUGAUGGAAGCCAUGGCAAGGGGAACGGGAUUCCUGAUCGCUUUUCAGGCUCCAGCUCAGGAGCUGACCGCUACUUAAGCAUCUCCAACAUCCAGAAUGAGGAUGAAGCUGACUAUUUGUGUGGUGUAUCACAUGACAUUGGUGUGCCAUUUGGGUAA